rnacentral:lncRNA from 1 species
UUCUUCAUCUUCUUCUUCUUGUUGUUGGUGUAACAACAUCCUCCUUCUCCUCCUCAUCUUCUUCCCCUCCGCAGAGCAGCAACUUCUUCUUCUUUCUUCAUCUUCUUCUUCUUGUUGUUGGUGUAACAACAUCCUCCUCCUCCUCCUCAUCUUCUUCCCCUCCGCAGAGCAGCAACUUCUUCUUCUUCUUCUUCUUCUUUCUUCAUCUUCUUGUUGUUGUUGUUGGUGUAACAACAUCCUCCUCCUCCUCCUCCUCAUCAUCAUCUUCUUCUACAGCAAGAUGGCUCAGCUCGUUAGAGUGUUGUUGGUCGUCGCCCUGGUGUUGUCAUGCAUGCAUCUUCUCGUGGCGGGGAGGCCUCUGGGCGGGGACUGGUGGCCGGAGAACAUCAAGAUCUUUCUACAGUCGCUGCCACAGGGAUCGGUGCCUCCCUCGUCGCAGUCCGGCUGCACCAGCAACCCUAACAACCAUGGUGGUAUUUGCCACUCUUCUCCAUGAAAUUAAAAGAGAGGACUCUUUUGUAUGUUGAGACAUCCGAUUGGUUUAUGUAUUCAUUUAAUAUAAUAAAAAAUAGAAAAAAAAUUGUGUAUACGAUAUAAAAUUAAUGUAAUAUUUGUUUUUUUUUCUCUAAGUCAAGAAGAAAAAAAGGGCAGUAUAUACAAAUGAGAUGUA